GACGAACGCUGGCGGCGUGCUUAACACAUGCAAGUCGAACGGAAAGGCCCUGCUUUUGUGUGGUGCUCGAGUGGCGAACGGGUGAGUAACACGUGAGUAACCUGCCCUUUACUUUGGGAUAACUUCAGGAAACUGGUGCUAAUACCGGAUAGGAGCUCCUGCUGCAUGGUGGUGGUUGGAAAGUUUCGGCGGUUGGGGAUGGACUCGCGGCUUAUCAGCUUGUUGGUGGGGUAGUGGCUUACCAAGGCUUUGACGGGUAGCCGGCCUGAGAGGGUGACCGGCCACAUUGGGACUGAGAUACGGCCCAGACUCCUACGGGAGGCAGCAGUGGGGAAUAUUGCACAAUGGGCGGAAGCCUGAUGCAGCAACGCCGCGUGCGGGAUGACGGCCUUCGGGUUGUAAACCGCUUUCGCCUGUGACGAAGCGUGAGUGACGGUAAUGGGUAAAGAAGCACCGGCUAACUACGUG
rnacentral:rRNA from 1 species